ncrna:unclassified sequences L2-Alphaproteobacteria ribosomal protein leader
GGGGACCUUUGGGGCCCUAUACACCAGCGGUCUUAAUCGGCCGCGCUAAGCAAACGGAAGACAGAAA